GACAGAGGCCUCAAGCGUUAGGCGGAAUCACUGGGCUUAAAGCGUGUGUAGGCGGACUUCUAAGUGCCUUGUGAAAUCCCACGGCUCAACCGUGGAACUGCUGGGCAUACUGGGAGUCUUGGGCCAUUCAGGGGCAACUGGAACAAGCGGUGGAGCGGUGAAAUGCGUAGAUAUCGCUUGGAACGCCGAAGGUGAAAACAGGUUGCUGGGGGAUGUGCCGA
rnacentral:rRNA from 1 species